rnacentral:tRNA from 1 species
CGCGGGAUGGAGCAGUCUGGUAGCUCGUCGGGCUCAUAACCCGAAGAUCCGGCUCCCGCAA